rnacentral:rRNA from 1 species
UACGUAGGGUGCAAGCGUUAAUCGGAAUUACUGGGCAUAAAGCGUGCGCAGGCGGUCGUGCAAGACAGAUGUGAAAUCCCCGGGCUUAACCUGGGAACUGCAUUUGUGACUGCACAGCUAGAGUGCGGCAGAGGGGGAUGGAAUUCCGCGUGUAGCAGUGAAAUGCGUAGAUAUGCGGAGGAACACCGAUGGCGAAGGCAAUCCCCUGGGCCUGCACUGACGCUCAUGCACGAAAGCGUGGGGAGCAAACAGG